rnacentral:ribozyme from 1 species
AUAGAUAGAUAGAGAAAGAAAGAAAGAAAGAAAGAAGAAAGAUAAAGAGAAAGACAUACUUUUCUCACAUUUGUCCUCCUUGUUC